CAAAGACCGAUUGAUGGUCCCUAAGCGACACAUUGCUGGAUCUGGAGUGAAUAUCUGUGAAUAUCCAAUCUAAAACUAACUGUACCGCGGUCCAAAAUUAUAUCUUAUUGUGUAGGAUCUCCCACAUCUGUCGCUGCAAUACAAUAAUAAUAAUUCUUAAAAGUAUUGGUAUAUUAUUGGUUAAUCGGAAAUUAGCCCAUUAAAUUGUUCAAAAAAUAGCAUGUUGCUAGUUCCAUUCAUUGACUGUAUAUACUACUCCACUACUCUGAUACUUCGAUGGUGACAAAUGAGAUGUAGGUAACUAAAUUACCCAGCCAUGCUAAUGCAGUUCACUGUAUUUCUGCAGUAAUUUAGUAUUUUUAAAUGGUUUCUCUUUUCCAUGAAGUGUCGUGAAACAGCUUCGAUUGUAAUGGAGCUGGUGUCAUGGAAACAGAACGUUGACCAGGGUAUAUAAGGCCAACGGACCAUUUUAAUGUCCCCUUUUGCACUUGAUCAAACUGUGGGAGCUAACUCUUGGGACAGCUCACACUUUGAGAGACGCACUAGGAAAUAUCUUACUGGACAUCGGAUCUGGUUGGAAAACAAAACUUGUGGAGCAGUGAACAACUGAAAACCUUGGAUACGAUUCUCAUGGAGGAUUUCGCGAGUGGAGUCGCCGGCCCUGCUGGUGCCGCCGCUCCGCACUUGGAGAACGCCGUGGGACGUCCUGCUGGAGAGGACCUCCUGGAAGACAUCUGGAUUGUGGACUUCGAUAACUACUACCCCCUCAUCUCUUCUGAUGAAGAGGAAGACGGCGAGGUAGAGGUCUUCAGAGCUCUUAACAAUGGACAUGGCAGCGCCACGCAAAGGUAGCUGCCCAGCCAAAAUAUCCAGGAAAUCAUCAGUAUCACGGCAGCCCAGCUACAUGCAGAGGAUGAAACCCACCGGAAAACCCUGAGACUGAGGGUCCCUGCCUCACACUCAUCCGAAGUGCAGCCGUGAAGGCUGGAGCCCCCCCACUGGUCAACUAAAGUAUCACCUCGGUCUCCAUGACGACAAAGAAGAUUAGAAGAUGGAGGACCAUAGGAUCGCCUGGAAAGGAGUAGUCGCAAGUUUAUCAGUGGUCUCUCUCAAAGGCCCCAGGUGUUCUGAGCAGUGUACUCGCUUACAGUGAGGACAAAUGUGUCUCUACCCUCUGCCCCUCUGCCCUCUCCAGCCACCAGUCAAAGGGGUCAACAGAGAACGCUCUUAUUACCUGCUUCUUGUGGGAUUUGGAAGCACAUCAAGGCCAGAGAUAUG